AAGCGGUAGAGUUUAGUGAAGGAGGAAGCGAAGAGGCCCCUCAGAACCGCUACCUCCUGGGGGCAGCGUUUUUUCAACCAGCCCUGGAAACACAAUUCAUACUAUGACCAACACCAUGGUCAUUUUCCGGUUCUGAAAUAAACAAAACCUUUAUUCACCUCCAAUAUUGGGCUCCAGCUGAGCACGGAAGAGCUCAUGAACACCAUGCCGUUGCGUGAUACGGUGGCUGGAGAGGCGUUGUCGAUGUUAUGCGGCUCAAACGCCACCUUACAGUUGGGUGCCAUCGGUAUGCGGUCUCCAUUUGCCAAAUGUGGGCCAGAUGAUCAGCCUGCAGUGUUUGCAGUGGGCGAGAAGAGGCGAGAAGAGCUGCGGCAGGGCAACCCGUGGCUGCUUCACAGUUUCAACAAGCCUGCUCACAAUGCCCUGAGCAUCUGACAGUUCGCUGUGCUGGACCAACCUUCCAACUCACCCGACCUGGCUGUGUGGGAUUUUUUUCCCCCUUCCCCAAACUCAAGGGGGUCAUCAAGGGGAUUCGUUCUUAGGACAUGGACAACAUCAAGCUGGCCGUGACACUGGGGCUUCCAGGAGUACAUGAAGGUGUAGCAGAGACGGCUGGAAAAGUAAACUCCGGGGGAUUUAGUUCAAAGUGUUUUCCUCCAGAGGGUUGAGAAGAUGCCAUCCGUCCAAUCGUUUGUAGCCACAUCAAGUCGACCAAACAUCUGAGGUGCGGUGAUGGCUUUGGGGUUCAUGCGCAUCUCCCUGUGAGGUUGACCACAUUCUAGGAGAGGAAGGUAAGCACAAUUGAAAUCUGCUGGGCUGCCACCGACAGGACGGGAAGGUCAAUGCGGUUGAAUUCGUCAAAACAUCCCCACGAACCAGACUGAGCAAGACCUGCGAAUCAUACACAGACCACGAACAGAUUAGUUUGCUUUAAAUAAAGUGACGGCACAAGCCAUUAUCUUUUGUAGUCAAAACCGAACACCGAAGCACUGUUAGCAUUAGCAUACUUGCUCCGACUUACCCUUGAAUAUUCUUCCCAGACCUCUGAAGUCCAUCUGGUCCGAACAGUUGAAGACCACCACGUACUUCCCCAGACAGCGACCCAUAUCUUUAAUGGUCUCUGUUUUACCUAAAACAACAGAACAAGUUUUUCCAACAAAAGAGACAUUCGUUGAUUUUUAGGCUACACCUACUGAAAAUAAGAGUCAUCGUCCCGCCAAAAGAAAUGUGCAACUGUGUAUGUGUAUAUUCUAGCUGCCUUCAAUGUAACUUUUGUGGAUGACUCGUUCAACUCCUUUGAGACGAGUUGCUGAAUUCUUCAAAUGUGAACAGUUUCAUCCAUCCAACCAUUUUCUGAACCGCUUAUGUUUGUGAAAAUCCCCAAACGUUCAGGGUGUUUCUCUUACCUGUUCCUGCAGGGCCAGCAGGUGCUCCACCCAUACUCAUACAGAGAGCCUGUGCAAGAGUGAUGUAGCACCUACGUCACAUAUGUGGACAUAGAACAGGCUGUUACAUUCACACAUUAAUACGGUAAAAUUAUUCUAUGCGCUGCCUCGAAAAGGUAUUCAACCCCUUGGCUUUUUUUUUUAACCUUUUUUGUUAUGGAUCUGUACAACAUUGUCAAAGUUUUGAAGUGAAAUGAGAAAAACAAAUAGUAAAGAUGUUUUUAAUGGAAGAAAAAAAAAAGGGAAAUUGGCACACAAUCUAAAUCUUUGAUGAAUCCCCAAAUCCAAAUAACAUGGCAGUGCCACUAACCUGCCCAGGGAGGGCUGCCCACCAAAACUUUGGGAGCAGGCAAGGGGGGGCAUUAAUCAAAGAGGCACCCUGGAGAAGCUGCAGAGUUUCCCAGCAGACGCGGGAGUAUCUGUCCAUAGGACCACAACAAACCCGGGCCGUUUUCUUUGAAUUGGGCGGCAUUCUCUGAGAAAUGUUGGCUUCUUUGGAGCAAGACUGGCCUUAUAAUUGUAUGCAACACUUUUUUUUUUAAUGUCCUCUAGAACAAAUCCAAAAACUGUUGUUACACGCACAAAAGUGCAAAAAGUUUUUUUUUGUCUGGAAUCCUCACUGUCCUUUCUGCUGUCCAUUUCCAUUGUUUCCCUUUUUCAAACCUGAGGCUGUGGCUGAGGGAGAAUGAAGGGCAGACAAUGACAAUAUAGAGUGGAGCAAAUGAGUGACAGACAAGAACAGCAGUGGACACUGUCAGUGAAGAAAACAGCGUGGAAAGAUGUCAGAGAGAAUCAGAGCUCUUUUGGUUUCUGCGUGCAAGUGGCCAGCAGCAGCAAGCUGCUGCUGCCGAAAGAUGCCGGCAAGUCACUUCCCGCCGCUGCCGUCGCUUCGCAUUGCUUCGCCUUUGCUGCGUGGAUGUCAGACAAUGCUUGUAGGUUGAUUACUGUGUCUGUCUUUCUGUCUGUCUGUCUAUGCGCUGCCGUGUUGCGCGCAACAAAUGAGGGCCCGCCUGUCAGUCACACUGACUGACUGCUGUGUAAAUGAGGCAUUGCUCACAGCAAGACAUGAUGGACUGCUUAGCGGGAGACAUACAGUCCAAUCGUCUGAUGUGCAAGUCUCCCCAUACUGAAUUCAAUCUAAAUUGUUUAACGUGACUGGUGUCUUGUUUUUGAUCACAUUUAAAACCACUUUAAACCGUCACAUGCAUUAUAAGAAGCUUAUUAUUUUGAAGAAGGAAAUGAGAGUAUUGUCGCUCUCCUUUCUGAUUGACAGCUGGAAAUAAGAAAGUGGAAACUCUGGCCUUGCUAAAGUGCCUCCAUUCAUGGCCCAAAUAAUUUGAUUAUCCCCUUCACUCCUUUCAUGAUGUGGACCUGAUCUUCGUACUCCUUUGGCCACAUUUGUGCCACUGAAAUCUUGAUUGGUUUCUGUGAGUGUAUCAUGAUGUGGCAAAUGUAUAUACAGUAGUAGAAGGACAAUUUCCACCCUGUUAAGUCAAACAAAUAUAUUUAUUUUUGUUUUUCUAAAUUCGCCAUUUUGUGUUUGUAUUUAACCUCGUGCGUGGCACUUACCUGUCAGUCAAGGGCGUAAUGACAAGCCUUUCGGUGCAACCCAAAAACUCAUUCUGGUAGACAAAUCCAACGUCCGUGAUGCUGAUGAUCAUUUUGUCGGAGUCCUCAUUGAAGUAGAAACGACACUGCUUCAACCACUCAAAGUCUCCGGGACUUUUGACAUGCAGUCGGUACUUGAUAAUGAACGUGGAAAAGGAAGAAGGAGGUUUAAUAAGGGCGUCAGGUUAGGAUUUAUGAAGGGAUAGUGGUUGAAAUUAAUUUACAAAGAGACGGUGGGUGGAAGGUGAGAAGAAAAGGAAAGCGAGGAGGUUAAAAAUGGAUGGUGGGGAAGAUGGAAGGCAAGGAGCACAUUAAAAUGAGUUUAUGUAUUAAGGUGGCAGCAGUAGGAAGGAUGAAUGAGUCACAAAAGCAAAAAUAGAGAAGGCUUAACUCGGAGGAAGGGUAACAAGGACGGAUACAAAUAAUAAUAUUGGAGAACACAUGGGUCAAAUGAAGGGAAAUAAUACAAAGUACAUCAAACAAAUGCACUUCUUGUUCUCCUUGGUGACGAGGAAGCCAAUUAUUGUGACUAAAAUAGAGCCUUUCGUAACAUCUAAAAAAAAAAAUAAUUAAUCAAAUAAAAGGCUGAAUAUGUUUUUCUCUGACCAUACUCUUUUCAAAUAAUGUUGUUCUGAAAGCCAGAGCCUUGCCUGUUGCUUAAA